rnacentral:rRNA from 1 species
GACAGAGGGGGCAAGCGUUGCUCGGAAUUACUGGGCGUAAAGGGCGCGUAGGCGGGAUGGCAAGUCGGUCGUGAAAUCCCUCGGCUCAACCGAGGAACGUCGAUCGAUACUGCUGUUCUUGAGGAUUGCAGAGGAGACUGGAAUUCCCGGUGUAGCGGUGAAAUGUGUAGAGAUCGGGAGGAACACCUGUGGCGAAAGCGGCGCACUGGACCACAACUGACGCUGAGGCGCGAAAGCUAGGGGAGCAAACAGG